GGCCGCAAGAAAACGAAGCAGCAGCACAGCAGCACCAGCGCGACCACGAAUGGCGUCGACCUCUAGCUUGGAUUUGGGAAAGAUUGUGCCGCCGGCCGGCUUCCUCCACUGCCGCGCCGCCGUCCUCAGCGCCCCUGUUCUCUGGGGGAGGAGCGCGAGCGGGCGGUGCAGCCUCGCCGUCUCGGUCUCGUCCUCCAAUGGUAGAUCUUGGAGUUCAGUUCAACCAUAGUAAGAUGAGGUUCGAACCUGCGAGGAGCCGAAUCUUAGUAUUACCGCUCUUACCGAUUUCAUGGUCCAUUCUGAAGCCAUAGCGGUUCGGUUGAAUCCGGUGCAGCUGGGCUCUCCCCACUGAGUGACUCGGAGAAGAAAGGUCCUGUGGUGAUGGAGAUCCCGCUGGAAGAUAUCCGGAGGCCGCUAAUGCGAACGCGUGCUAAUGAUUCUGAUAAGGUGCAGGAGCUCAUGGACAGCAUCCGUGUCAUCAGCCUCCAAGUACCUGUGGGCUUCCUUUCCUUUAACAUUAAUUUUUCCAAAAUUAUUUUCUUUUAGCUCAUAAGAUAAAUUAUGUCAGAACUGGAAUUUUCUAAUGUGGAAUUGAGUACAUACAAAUAAAGUUAUAGAGUAGCUAAUA